AAUGAACGCUGGCGGCGCGCCUAAUACAUGCAAGUCGAGCGAGAAGACGUAGCAAUACGUUUGUAAAGCGGCGAACGGGUGAGGAAUACAUGGGUAACCUACCCUAGAGUGGGGAAUAACUAGCCGAAAGGUUAGCUAAUACCGCGUACGCUCCUUGGACUUCGGUUCAGGGAGGAAAGCGAUGCCGAGGGUAUCGCGCUCUUGGAUGGGCUCAUGUCCUAUCAGCUUGUUGGUGAGGUAACGGCUCACCAAGGCUUCGACGGGUAGCUGGUCUGAGAGGACGAUCAGCCACACUGGCACUGCGACACGGGCCAGACUCCUACGGGAGGCAGCAGUAAGGAAUAUUGCGCAAUGGGCGAAAGCCUGACGCAGCGACGCCGCGUGGGGGA
rnacentral:rRNA from 1 species